rnacentral:rRNA from 1 species
AAAUUGAAGAGUUUGAUCAUGGCUCAGGUUGAACGCUGGCGGCAGGCCUAACACAUGCAAGUCGAACGGUAACAGGAAACAGCUUGCUGUUUCGCUGACGAGUGGCGGACGGGUGAGUAAUGUCUGGGAAACUGCCUGAUGGAGGGGGAUAACUACUGGAAACGGUAGCUAAUACCGCAUAACGUCGCAAGACCAAAGAGGGGGACCUUCGGGCCUCUUGCCAUCGGAUGUGCCCAGAUGGGAUUAGCUAGUAGGUGGGGUAACGGCUCACCUAGGCGACGAUCCCUAGCUGGUCUGAGAGGAUGACCAGCCACACUGGAACUGAGACACGGUCCAGACUCCUACGGGAGGCAGCAGUGGGGAAUAUUGCACAAUGGGCGCAAGCCUGAUGCAGCCAUGCCGCGUGUAUGAAGAAGGCCUUCGGGUUGUAAAGUACUUUCAGCGG